UACGUAGGUGACCAGCGUUGUCCGGAUUUACUGGGCGUAAAGAGCGCGCAGGCGGUCGUUCAAGUCGAGUGUGAAAGCCCCCGGCUCAACUGGGGAGGGUCAUUCGAUACUGAUCGACUUGAAGGCAGGAGAGGGAAGCGGAAUUCCCGGUGUAGUGGUGAAAUGCGUAGAUAUCGGAAGGAACACCAGUGGCGAAAGCGGCUUCCUGGUCCAGCACCGACGUUCAGGCACGAAAGCGUGGGGAGCAAACAGG
rnacentral:rRNA from 1 species